AAUAGUAAAAAAUUAAAUAAUUUAAUUAAUUAACUGCCGAAAUUAACAAAUUAACGAGAAAUUAACGAUUGUUUACGAUCAAAACAUUGCCACCUCUUUUUACACCACAUUGAUUUGACAGUUCGACCGACGACGUUCGAAGCACGAUUGUUGUUGUUGUGUUUGGUGUAAUUUUUUUGUCGCCAAAAAGUCGGUCUAACGGGAGAAUGCAUUCUCCCGGUGGUGGUCCAAUAACCAGGUGUGGUGGCUAUGAUCGUGACGGAGAGAUUACUCCGGUGGACAUUCCGACGGCGGAGGCACAACUCUGACCGUGAUGGCGGCGGCGGUGGCCGGUUCAUCGAUCGCAAGAAUAACUGAGGUGGUGACUAAAACAAUCGCGACGGCGAUGGCGGCGGUGGACACCCGGAUUGGCAGCAGCACCUGCAGCGGGAGCUGUCUUCCCAGGUGAGCGUUUGGUUGCGGAUCAAUAGCCACCCAAGGAAUGGUGGUGGCAGCCUUCCCGUCGGCGAGCCUGGUGCGCUUGGUGACGAUCACUUUAACUUUAAUUAUGUUCCGCAGCAGCACCACCACCAGUUACUGGUAGUAUCUGGAACAAUGGCCCUCGAGCGGUUCAAGAGAUUUUCGUGAUAUCCGUCAGCCGGAGAACGACAUCUGGCAGGAGCCCCCGGCCAAGGAGGGUGGAGGUGACGGUGAAUAAAGAGGCCAAUGCGUAUUGGUGGACGCUGGAAUGCCUGCGGCGGAAGAGGCGCAGCUAUGAUUUUAAACAGCUUUGAGCGGAUGGGAAGUGAAUUGUUUCAACACGGUAAUACCGAUAUCAAUUACAUCAAGUACGAAGAUAUUCCCGUGGAGGCGAUUAGCGAGAACGUUCCAUCCCACAUAAACACUUUCGAUGACGAUGAAUUUUAAGCUGGCAAAAUACGACGUGUUUACGCCGGUCCAGAAGAACGCCAUUCCGAUUGUCAUGAGCGAAUGCGAUGUGAUGGCCUGCCCCCGGACAGUUCCGGAAAGACUGUCGCGUUCCUGGUCCAGAUCCUUUAUAAAAAAAAUACAAGCAUGGCGUCACUCCGCCGCCCUAGAAUCGUCCCUUCAAUAGUCGCAAACAGUACCCACUGAGACUUGAGCUGGCUCCGACCAGAUGCGCGAGUUGAACCGUGGUUGUAACCUGGACAACAUUCGCUUCCUCGUGCUAGACGAGGUUGAUAGUAUUUUGGAGUGCUAAUAAUAAAAUUGUGAAAAAAAAAAUGCUUAGAAAUAUAAACUAAAGUCUAAAAGAACUUGUAUUCAUUUAUCACAUUCGGAAAACUAAUUUCACUUUUAACAGAAGUUUUUUCGCAAAAAAAAUCGUUGUUGAAGUAAGGUGUGAUGUGGUGCUGCUGCAUCCACUGUUGUCCCGUUCGCUCUCAGAUUCGCGUACACGUCGUACUCCUCGGCGCGAUUCAGCUUGCCACGUUGGUGCUGCAUCUGCUGCUGGUUCUGUUGGUUUUUGUGCUGCUGCUGAUCUUGCUGCUGAUUGCGAUUCUGACCCUGCUGCUGCCGU